rnacentral:rRNA from 1 species
UUUCCCUCAGGAUAGCUGGCACUCGCUUGAGCGAGUCUCAUCUGGUAAAGCGAAUGAUUAGAGGCCUUGGGGCCGAAACGACCUCAACCUAUUCUCAAACUUUAAAUGGGUGAGAUCUCUGGCUUGCUUGACGUGAAGCCACGAGAUUAUUGCAAUGGAUCAGAGUGCCAGUGGGCCAAUUUUGGUAAGCAGAACUGGCGCUGUGGGA